rnacentral:rRNA from 1 species
CACUCCUGCGGGAGGCAGCAGUGGGGAAUAUUGCACAAUGGGCGCAAGCCUGAUGCAGCCAUGCCGCGUGUAUGAAGAAGGCCUUCGGGUUGUAAAGUACUUUCAGCGGGGAGGAAGGCGAUAAGGUUAAUAACCUUGUUGAUUGACGUUACCCGCAGAAGAAGCACCGGCUAACUCCGUGCCAGCAGCCGCGGUAAUACGGAGGGUGCAAGCGUUAAUCGGAAUUACUGGGCGUAAAGCGCACGCAGGCGGUCUGUCAAGUCGGAUGUGAAAUCCCCGGGCUCAACCUGGGAACUGCAUUCGAAACUGGCAGGCUAGAGUCUUGUAGAGGGGGGUAGAAUUCCAGGUGUAGCGGUGAAAUGCGUAGAGAUCUGGAGGAAUACCGGUGGCGAAGGCGGCCCCCUGGACAAAGACUGACGCUCAGGUGCGAAAGCGUGGGGAGCAAACAGGAUUAGAAACCCUUGUAGUCCCA